rnacentral:rRNA from 1 species
UACGUAGGCAGCAAGCGUUGUUCGGAAUUACUGGGCGUAAAGAGUGUGUAGGCGGUGUUCUAAGUCCGUUGUGAAAUCUCCCGGCUUAACUGGGAGGGUGCGGCGGAAACUGGAAUGCUAGAGGAUGGGAGAGGUAAGCGGAAUUCCUGGUGUAGCGGUGAAAUGCGUAGAUAUCAGGAGGAACACCUGUGGUGUAGACAGCUUACUGGACCAUUUCUGACGCUGAGACACGAAAGCGUGGGUAGCAAACAGG